UGUUUCGGCAAGGGGGUCAUCCCGACUUACCAACCCGAUGCAAACUGCGAAUACCGGAGAAUGUUAUCACGGGAGACACACGGCGGGUGCUAACGUCCGUCGUGAAGAGGGAAACAACCCAGACCGCCAGCUAAGGUCCCAAAGUCAUGGUUAAGUGGGAAACGAUGUGGGAAGGCCCAGACAGCCAGGAUGUUGGCUUAGAAGCAGCCAUCAUUUAAAGAAAGCGUAAUAGCUCACUGGUCGAGUCGGCCUGCGCGGAAGAUGUAACGGGGCUAAACCAUGCACCGAAGCUGCGGCAGCGACACUAUGUGUUGUUGGGUAGGGGAGCGUUCUGUAAGCCUGUGAAGGUGUGCUGUGAGGCAUGCUGGAGGUAUCAGAAGUGCGAAUGCUGACAUAAGUAACGAUAAAGCGGGUGAAAAGCCCGCUCGCCGGAAGACCAAGGGUUCCUGUCCAACGUUAAUCGGGGCAGGGUGAGUCGACCCCUAAGGCGAGGCCGAAAGGCGUAGUCGAUGGGAAACAGGUUAAUAUUCCUGUACUUGGUGUUACUGCGAAGGGGGGACGGAGAAGGCUAUGUUGGCCGGGCGACGGUUGUCCCGGUUUAAGCGUGUAGGCUGGUUUUCCAGGCAAAUCCGGAAAAUCAAGGCUGAGGCGUGAUGACGAGGCACUACGGUGCUGAAGCAACAAAUGCCCUGCUUCCAGGAAAAGCCUCUAAGCAUCAGGUAACAUCAAAUCGUACCCCAAACCGACACAGGUGGUCAGGUAGAGAAUACCAAGGCGCUUGAGAGAACUCGGGUGAAGGAACUAGGCAAAAUGGUGCCGUAACUUCGGGAGAAGG
rnacentral:rRNA from 1 species